rnacentral:lncRNA from 10 species
CCCAGUUCUAGCUUCCCGGCUGCUUUGUUUACCCAAGCAAGCCUGGGCAAUGGCGGGCGCCCCUCCCCCAGCCUUGCUGCGGCCUUGCAGUUUGAUCUCAGACUGCUGUGCUAGCAAUCAGCGAGACUCCGUGGGCGUAGGACCCUCCUAGCCAGGUGCAAGAUAUAAUCUCGCGGUGCGCCGUUUUUUAAGCCGGUCCGAAAGCGCAAUAUUCGGGUGGGAGAGACCCGAUUUUCCAGUGAGAUGAACCCAGUACCUCAGAUGGAAAUGCAGAAAUCACCCGUCUUCUGCGUCGCUCACGCUGGGAGCUGUAGACCGGAGCUGUUGCUAUUCGGCCAUCUUGGCUCCUCUCCUGCACUGCAAGAAUGGACUAAUACGCUAUGUGAAGACAAAGGGGAUGUCUGCAAGCCAGGACGAGUGCGUCUACCAGAAACUGAGUUCUGCUGGACUUUGAUCUAGGACAUCCAGCCUCCAGAAUGGAAUGUGCCAUAUGUGGAGACCUGCAUGGAAAGGAACUGAGGAUGCUCUCUCACUAAAAGCUAGAAGGAACUGAGGCCCUCAGUCAACAGUCUACAAGACACUGAAUCUUGCCAGCAGCCAAGCAGUGAGCUUGAAAGCAGAUCUAUCAUCAGCUGAACCUUCAGAUGAGACCGCAGCCUAAGCAGAUACCUUGGUUGCAGCCAUGUGAGACAACCUGAAACAGAGGGCACAGCUAAGCCUCAGCCAGGUUCAUGACCCUCUGAGGAAACUGUGAGAAAGCAAAUGUCAUUUUAAGCUAUUUAAUUUUGGAGGUAGUUUAUUACACAACAAUAAAUAACUAUUAUAAUUAUCUUGAGGAUUUAUUUCCUGGGGAGAAUACAUGGAAUUGCAUAUAUAGGUCCUCAUAUGCAGAAUACUGGUACCCUAGAGAUGUUCACCCCAGAGAUGUUUUAGGAACCUGUGAAUAUGUUACAUUAAAUGGCAAAGUUUUCCUGGAUGGUUUAAGUUUAAGAUGGAAAAGUUUUACUGGAUUAUCCAGUGGGUCCAAUCUAGUAACAUGAGUCCUUAAAAAUGGAGAAUAUUUUUUGGCCAUGAUCAGAGAGACAUGUGAUGAUGGAAAAAGUGUCAGAGAUGCAAUGUGAGGGGACUAAAACUGCUGUUGCUGACUUUAAAGAUGGAGAGAGGGGAACCCGAGUCAAGGAAUGCAAAUGGCCUCUGGAAGCUGGAAAAAGCAAGAAAUGGAUUCUCCUUUAGAGCCUGUGGAAUAAAAUGCAGUCAUGCUGACACCUUGAUUUUACCUCAGUGAGACCAAUACUGGAGUAUGACCUUCGGAGCUGAAUAAAAUUAUACGUACACAUCUUAAUUUCUUGGGAUUUGAUUACUUCUUCUGCUUUGAAAUUAGACCAAGUUUAGCCUGCCUUUGCUAUUUUGGCGUAUCUCCAAUUCUUCAUGAUUUUCUCAUCGCAAAGGCCACAUAAGGACAGUGAGAAGGCAGCCACCUGCAAGCCAGGAAGAAAGGUCUCACCAGAUACCAACCCUGCCAGCAUGUUGAUCUUGGACUUCCAGCCUCCAAAACUGGCCUUCUGCUCACAUGGGCUUCCGUGCACCUGCUUCAGGAGACAGCAACACUUGCGCCCGCACCGCGGCAGGCUCCCAUCACCUGGUGGAUAUGCCGCGCCGAGUCUCAUCACACCUUAGUGAAGGAACACAUGGACCCAUAUGUUAGCGGAUGUAUUUACAUCGUUUUAUACAGAAAGGGGAAGAAAACUGCAUACCUCAGAAAGGGGUUGCUCCUCACUCUGAGUACUAGACUAAAGAUAAAAAGACUAGAUAAAAGUACUAGACUAAAGACAGAGCUGACCCAUGACAGAUGGAGUCUUGCUCUGUCACACAUGCUAGAGUCCAGUGGUAUGACCUCAGCUCACUGCAAUCUCUGCCUCCCGGGUUCAAAUGAUUCUUCUGCCUUGACCUCCCUGGCAGCUGGGACUACAGGCCUGCACCACCACGCCUGGCAAAUUUUUUAAUUUUUUUUAGUAGAGAUGGGGUUUCACCAUGUUGGCCAGGCUAGUCUCGAACUCCUGACCUCAAAUGAUCUGCCCGCUUUGGCCUUCCAAAGUUCUGGGAUUAUAGGAGUGAGCCACCAUGCCCAGCCUGUUCUUAAGUCUCCUAGAACAGGGAUUCUGAAACACAAAACUCAUCUGGCAAAGAGUUCUAAGAUGCAUUUCACAGCACUCCACAGAAGGAAGGUUCAGAGCCAAUCAUCUGCACCAGUGCCCAACUUAAAAACAUCCUUGUAUCAGUUUUCCCUUAUUUCCUGUUCUCCUCCCUAAACCUUCAGUCCUGUUCCUGGCAAUCACUUCCAGAAUAAACCAUAUACAUGCCUCAGAUUCUGAUCUCAGAGGAUCCCAGACUAAUACAGAGAUACACUAUGCUGAUUGCUUAACCCGCAUUUUCUCAUUUAAUUGAAACAUAUACGUGGUAAGGUAUUUAUUCAUACCUGCAUGAUUUUGUAGAUAAACCUUAGAGAAAUUAAUACUUUUCAGAAGGCAAUUAAAGUAACACAGCAAGCAAUUGAUAAAACCUGGAUUCGCCAAGUUAAACUGGUCUGGUUUCAAAACCUGUAUUGUUUCCUAACAUACCACCUAAAUUCUCAAAUGGUAUUGGAAGGGGUUAAAUGAGAUUAUAAAUGUAAAAUUCUUGGUAUAGUUAAUUCUCAAAAAUAGGCCUUCAAUCUAUAGAAUCCAUUUGUAGAACUAUCUUCAGGAAGGAAAAAUACAUCACCCUCCACCCCACCCUCAAAGAAACAUGGAAAAUUUAAACUAAGACUUCAAAUCUUGAGCUCUGCACAUCUUAGAAUAUUUUGUUUCUAUGAAAAAGAAGCUUUGGAGAAUGUGUAUCAGUCUGAAACACUGUAGUGUGAGCACAGAAAUCAGCCCAUCACAUUAUGCCCCAAAUGCUGAAGUACGGCUGAAUCUGAUUGCCCUGCAUUUUUAAGUACUGCAAAAUUCUGGGACUUGGGAUCAUCUGUUACUACAGACUUGUCAUAUUCCACUGAAAUAAAACAUAUAGUCUAAUUUGCAAAGUUCUCGUGUGGAAAGAGUCCUAAAAUGUAUAUAACCUCUGUCCCAGCAAUUCCAUUAGGAAUUUAUCCAAUCCAAAAUCUAAAAUGCAGAAGAUCUACAUAUUGAAUGCUUAUGGCAGCAUUCUUUAAAAUUAUGAAAAUUGAAAGCAACCAAAAUCCUCAAAAACAGACUAAUGGCUAAGUAGUAUAACCAUACUAUGAAAUGUGGUAAUUGAAUAUUCAAAUUUGUGUUGUAUAAAAAAUUAAUAAUGGUAUAACAUUUGGCUAUAAAAUAGAAUGAAUUCAAUUGUAUUUUUUAAACCAGUACAUCUGCAUAUUUGUGAACCUAAAAGAUAAGACGGUAAAUAUUUAACUGUAUUUUUCUUUAAUUGUUGGGGCUGUGAAUUAUUUUAAUUUUCUUAAUGCUUUUUAAUCUUCUCUGAAAAUUUUAUAAUAAUCUCUAAUAAUAAUUUAUAGCAAAAAAACCCAAAAUUUUAAAGGGUAUUCUUUUUGUAUUUUUAUCAAGAAUAAAAAUAUAUAUCAAU